rnacentral:lncRNA from 1 species
CGGCAACAAGCUGUCUUUGUUUUUUUGCGGAUUUGGAACAACUGUACUGUGACUGAGGCCGGCAUUGCGUAUAGUUCAGAUGGUAGCAUUAGGGCAAUUGAUGAUGAUAAUGAUGAUAAAACAAGUAGUGAUCAGCCAUUUACAAAUGAGGGUGAUGGAGGGAUGAAUACUGCUGGGGAAACAAUGAGUAUUGUUGAGAGUAGACCUGUAAAGGACCACUCUAGACAAAGAGGUUGGAGUACAACGUUAUCAAGUUAUGGUAGUGCUCCCAGAACCAGCAAACGGUCGCAUGCGGUUGGACACAUGGAGGAGAGAAUCAUUUUCGCAGGAUCCUCAAAACCGUGUCUUUUUGACACAACUGCUGACAGCUACAUUGACAUAAACACAAAAAAUGCUGCUUGGAGACAAGUGUCCACGAUAGUAGGAUUGCCAGAAGAAGACUGUAGGAGGAAGUGGAGAGGACUCGGGGACAGGUAUCAGAGAGAGAGAAGGGCAGAAAAAGAGAAGAAGAGGUCUGGGUCAGCAGCUUCAGGCCAGCAGCCUUGGUGCUUCUGUCACAUUCUUUCUUUUCAGGAUCCAUUUAUUGUGCCUAGUGCAACCGGUGGCAAUUUUACAGCCAGACCCUUUACUUCAUCCACAAGUGUGGGCGCCACCGGUGCAUCCAGACCCUCUACGUCAUUUACAAGUGAGACCACCGCCUCCACGGGUGCAGCGAGACCCUCUACAUCAUCCACAAGUAUGACCACCACCGGUGCAGCCACGGAAGAUGAUGAAAUGGAGGAAGCACGUCUGGAUCUAGGACCACUUGAGAUUAUUAUGACCCUCAAGGAAGUGACCACUGAGGACCUUGAACAGGAUGUGGCCGUGGAGACAAACGAGGAGAGAAACAUGGAGAAAUGAAGAGGAACAACGUCACACCAGGCACUAUCGGAGGGGGCUCUUCAAAGAGCUGUUUCACUCCACGGCAUACUGCCAUGGGACUUCACCUGCUGGCGCUGAGAAGUUGGUGGUCAGCUUCUCCCUCACCUGGAGUGCCUGUUUGGGGGCGUUGUUGGCACCUGCCCUGGUGACAUCAGGAAGGUGACCAUUUGGCGUGCCUGUCUCCAUCCGGUGCGGCUCCUGGAAUGACCUCUGCAGGUAGUUGUGGAGAACACAUGUUGCCGUCACGCAGGCAUCGACAUUUGAGGGGCUGAGACCAAGCACUCUCCGAUACAUUCUCCACCGGGCUGUCAGAAUCCAACAGGCGCAUUCAACAGCUAACCUUGCCCUGGAUAGUUGUUUCUUAAAUUCCUCUCGAAAUAGUCGAAGCUCUUGAAUGAGACGGUGGAACUGCUUUCGGGACUUCAACCAUCUCUAGCACCACACAGACCUGCGCUUUCGGCGGGGCUGGUCCCAGUCCAACUGCGCGAUCAAAACCACCUUUCUCAGCGUUGGUCUCAUUGUUGAAAGAGCCUACUCUCUAUCUUGACCAUUUAUUAUUACAUUUUGCUCCAAAACUAUGCAUUUUGGAGGGAAAUUAUAUUAUAGGCUCUCACAAUAAAUGUUUAUAUGUCAUCGAAUAAAUAAUAUGUAUGCUACUAGGCAAAUAAAUUAAUACAAAUAUGUAAAGAAACUAUGCAAACUGUUUUUAUUAUAUAAUCCCACAUUUUUUUACUGGAUAUGUUUGCAACAAAAAUUUGACACUCACAUGUUGCUACUUUCUGUCAAGUCUACUCAUACAAUUUGAUGCAUGCGUUCGAUAAAUGGAACGUAUGCUGUCUGACUGAGAAAGCAGUCGAUAUUCUGAUCCAGUUUGGCACCACAUAACUAUAUGAGUCAGGGUUCUCAUCUCUGACAUACUUAAAAAACAAGUACAGAAACGGUGUCAAUGCUGAGUAUGACAUCAGUCUGUGUAUUUUCUGGUCUACAUCUGUGUGAUGUGAUCAAUCAGUUUAUUCUAGUUCAGAAUUAAAAAUAUGUGUUGUAUUUUAACAGCAACAGUUCUAACCUAGACUUUCUUUUUUAAAAUAAUUUAUACGGUAAGAUGUACAGUAGGCCUGAUAAUUUUACAUCUGUAUUGUUAGGGUUGCACUAUCAAAAAGCCUGUGUGUGUGUUCUGUUACUCAUCUGUGUGAUGUGAUCAAUCAGUUUAUUCCAGUUCAGAAUGAAAAUGAUUUAUUGUAUUUUAACAGCAACAGUUCCAACCUAGACAGAUAUGUAAGAGUGUAUUUAAUGGUGGAAAAGAAAUGUGAAUAUAUAUUUAUAUGAAUAUUUAAUUUCAUUGUUAUUUAUUCUUGUCUAUAUUGUAUUUGUUUUAGGGAUAAGGACAAUGAAAUGUACCGAUAUUUACACUACGGUUCAAAAGUUUGGGGUCACUUAGAAAUGUCCUUGUUUUUGAAAGAAAAGCUAGUUUGAGAAACAGACGCCUCAAGUCCUCAACUGGCAGCUUCAUUAAAUAGUACCCGCAAAACACCAGUCUCAAUGUCAACAGUGAAGAGGCGACUCCGGGAUGCUGGCCUUCUAGGCAGAGUUGCAAAGAAAAAGCUAUAUCUCAGACUGACCAAUACAAAUAAAAGAUUAAGAUGGGCAAAAUAACACAGACACUGGACAGAGGAACUCUGCCUAGAAGGCCAGCAUACCGGAGUCGCCUCUUCACUGUUGACGUUGAGACUGGUAUUUUGCGGGUACUAUUUAAUGAAGCUGCCAGUUGAGGACUUGUGAGGCAUCUGUUUCUCAAACUAGACACUCUAAUGUACUUGUCCUCUUGCUCAGUUGUGCACCAGGGCCUCCCAUUCCUCUUUCUAUUCUGGUUAGGGCCAGUUUGCGCUGUUCUGUGAAGGGAGUAGUACACAGCGUUGUACAAGAUCUUCAGUUUCUUGGCAAUUUCUCGCAUGGAAUAGCCUUAAGUUCUCAGAACAAGAAUAGACUGAUGCAUUUCAGAAGGAAGUUCUUUGUUUCUGGCCAUUUUGAGCCUGUAAUCGAACCCACAAAUGCUGAUGCUCCAGAUACUCAACUAGUCUAAAGAAGGCCAGUUUUAUUGCUUCUUUAAUCAGAACAACAGUUUUCAGCUGUGCUAACAUAAUUACAAAAGGGUUUUCUAAUGAUCAAUUAGCCUUUUAAAAUUAUAAACUUGGAUUAGCUAACACAACGUGCCAUUGGAACACAGGAGUGAUGGUUGCUGAUAAUGGGCCUGUGUACGCCUAUGUAGAUAUUCCACAAAAAAUCUGCCUUUUCCAGCUACAAUAGUUAUUUACAACAUUAACAAUGUCUACACUGUAUUUCUGAUCAAUUUUAUGUUAUUUUAAUGGACAAAAAAAUAUGUUUUUCUUUCAAAAACAAGGACAUUUCUAAGUGGCCCCAAACGUUUGAACAGUAGUGUACGUAGAGUUGCGUAUUUUCCUAAGCUUUGGUCCCAGGAAAAACAUUUCUAAUUUGGGUCCCAGGCUGAAAAGGUUUAAGAGUACGUGCCACCUCUACUUCUGUGCUUUAAGUGCCAAUGGAUGGGGCAUGUUGCUAAUGUGUGCAAAGGUAAAAUGAGAUGUGCAAAGUGUGUUGGGGAUCACUAGUAUGGGAAAUGUGGGACUGAUGCUAAAGUUAAAUGUUGUAACUGCGACAGAGAACAUGCAGUAUAUGGAGGAUGUGACGUACAACUCAAAGCCAUGGAAGCGCAGAGGUACAAAUUUACUAACAAUGUAUCCUAUGCUGAGGCUCUUCGGAAAGUGAAUAACGAACCUAGUGUUCAAAAUACUCCAGAUACAACAUAUCGGCAGAUAGUGGCUGCUCCAAGGACGUCAGUGGAACCUCUGCCGAUUGUUAAUGUGAUAUGCGAGCAUAAAUGCUUGAUCACAGAUUACUACAUGGUAGGCCCAAAAAGCCAUAAAGCCGCUCCCAUACCGGGAGUUGAUAACCAAUGAACAAGAAUUUAAGAAGUUUAUACAUGACUUGGAUGUUUUACUGGACGUGGUGUGUAUACAAGAAAC